GGAGGGGGCAAGCGUUGUUCGGAAUUACUGGGCGUAAAGGGCGCGUAGGCGGUAUGCCAUGUCAGGGGUGAAAGGCCUGGGCUCAACCCAGGAACUGCCUUUGAAACUGGCAAACUAGAGUCCGAUAGAGGAUGGCGGAAUUCCCAGUGUAGAGGUGAAAUUCGUAGAUAUUGGGAAGAACACCAGUGGCGAAGGCGGCCAUCUGGAUCGGCACUGACGCUGAGGCGCGAAAGCGUGGGGAGCAAACAGGGAUUAGAUACCCUGGUAGUCCACGCCGUAAACGAUGUGUGCUAGACGUUGGGGGUCUUAGACCCUGGGUGUCGUAGCUAACGCGUUAAGCACACCGCCUGGGGGAGUACGGCCGCAAGGUUA
rnacentral:rRNA from 1 species